rnacentral:rRNA from 1 species
ACUCCUACGGGAGGCAGCAGUGGGGAAUAUUGCACAAUGGGCGCAAGCCUGAUGCAGCCAUGCCGCGUGUGUGAGAAGGCAGCUUCGGGUUGUAAAGCACUUUCAGUAGGGAGGAAGGUAGUGUAGUUAACACCUGCAUUAUUUGACGUUACCUACAGAAGAAGCACCGGCUAACUCCGUGCCAGCAGCCGCGGUAAUACGGAGGGUGCGAGCGUUAAUCGGAAUUACUGGGCGUAAAGCGCGUGUAGGUGGCUUGUUAAGCCAGAUGUGAAAGCCCGG